CAAAGCUUUGGAUAUUACAACCCCACAUGGUGGAAAUGAAGACUUCUAUGAUCCGGGCAAAGAGCAAAUACAUUUUUUCCUACAUUAUAAGAAAUGGGAGAAGCUUUCUAACCACGGUCUUCCUUCAGACAUCAGGUGGCUCACUCAGCUGUUAUAGAGCCAAGAUCCCAAGGUGCUCUCUGUUUGGCUGA
rnacentral:lncRNA from 1 species